rnacentral:rRNA from 1 species
AUUGAACGCUGGCGGCAUGCCUUACACAUGCAAGUCGAACGGCAGCACGGGAGCAAUCCUGGUGGCGAGUGGCGAACGGGUGAGUAAUAUAUCGGAACGUGCCCGGUCGUGGGGGAUAACGUAGCGAAAGCUACGCUAAUACCGCAUACGAUCUAUGGAUGAAAGCGGGGGAUCGCAAGACCUCGCGCGAUUGGAGCGGCCGAUAUCAGAUUAGGUAGUUGGUGAGGUAAAGGCUCACCAAGCCGAGAUCUGUAGCUGGUCUGAGAGGACGACCAG